ACUAAGCGUACACGGUGGAUGCCCUGGCAGUCAGAGGCGAUGAAGGACGUGCUAAUCUGCGAUAAGCGUCGGUGAGGUGAUAUGAACCGUUAUAACCGGCGAUUUCCGAAUGGGGAAACCCAGUGUGUUUCGACACACUAUCAUUAACUGAAUCCAUAGGUUAAUGAGGCGAACCGGGGGAACUGAAACAUCUAAGUACCCCGAGGAAAAGAAAUCAACCGAGAUUCCCCCAGUAGCGGCGAGCGAACGGGGAGGAGCCCAGAGCCUGAAUCAGUGUGUGUGUUAGUGGAAGCGUCUGGAAAGGCGCGCGAUACAGGGUGACAGCCCCGUACACAAAAAUGCACAUAUUGUGAGCUCGAUGAGUAGGGCGGGACACGUGGUAUCCUGUCUGAAUAUGGGGGGACCAUCCUCCAAGGCUAAAUACUCCUGACUGACCGAUAGUGAACCAGUACCGUGAGGGAAAGGCGAAAAGAACCCCGGCGAGGGGAGUGAAAAAGAACCUGAAACCGUGUACGUACAAGCAGUGGGAGCCUCUUAAUGGGGUGACUGCGUACCUUUUGUAUAAUGGGUCAGCGACUUAUAUUCUGUAGCAAGGUUAACCGAAUAGGGGAGCCGAAGGGAAACCGAGUCUUAACUGGGCGUUAAGUUGCAGGGUAUAGACCCGAAACCCGGUGAUCUAGCCAUGGGCAGGUUGAAGGUUGGGUAACACUAACUGGAGGACCGAACCGACUAAUGUUGAAAAAUUAGCGGAUGACUUGUGGCUGGGGGUGAAAGGCCAAUCAAACCGGGAGAUAGCUGGUUCUCCCCGAAAGCUAUUUAGGUAGCGCCUCGUGAAUUCAUCUCCGGGGGUAGAGCACUGUUUCGGCAAGGGGGUCAUCCCGACUUACCAACCCGAUGCAAACUGCGAAUACCGGAGAAUGUUAUCACGGGAGACACACGGCGGGUGCUAACGUCCGUCGUGAAGAGGGAAACAACCCAGACCGCCAGCUAAGGUCCCAAAGUCAUGGUUAAGUGGGAAACGAUGUGGGAAGGCCCAGACAGCCAGGAUGUUGGCUUAGAAGCAGCCAUCAUUUAAAGAAAGCGUAAUAGCUCACUGGUCGAGUCGGCCUGCGCGGAAGAUGUAACGGGGCUAAACCAUGCACCGAAGCUGCGGCAGCGACACUAUGUGUUGUUGGGUAGGGGAGCGUUCUGUAAGCCUGUGAAGGUGGCCUGUGAGGGUUGCUGGAGGUAUCAGAAGUGCGAAUGCUGACAUAAGUAACGAUAAAGCGGGUGAAAAGCCCGCUCGCCGGAAGACCAAGGGUUCCUGUCCAACGUUAAUCGGGGCAGGGUGAGUCGACCCCUAAGGCGAGGCCGAAAGGCGUAGUCGAUGGGAAACAGGUUAAUAUUCCUGUACUUGGUGUUACUGCGAAGGGGGGACGGAGAAGGCUAUGUUGGCCGGGCGACGGUUGUCCCGGUUUAAGCGUGUAGGCUGGUUUUCCAGGCAAAUCCGGAAAACCAAGGCUGAGGCGUGAUGACGAAGCACUACGGUGCUGAAGCGACAAAUGCCCUGCUUCCAGGAAAAGCCUCUAAGCAUCAGGUAACAUCAAAUCGUACCCCAAACCGACACAGGUGGUCAGGUAGAGAAUACCAAGGCGCUUGAGAGAACUCGGGUGAAGGAACUAGGCAAAAUGGUGCCGUAACUUCGGGAGAAGGCACGCUGAUAUGUAGGUGAAGCGACUUGCUCGUGGAGCUGAAAUCAGUCGAAGAUACCAGCUGGCUGCAACUGUUUAUUAAAAACACAGCACUGUGCAAACACGAAAGUGGACGUAUACGGUGUGACGCCUGCCCGGUGCCGGAAGGUUAAUUGAUGGGGUUAGCGGCAACGCGAAGCUCUUGAUCGAAGCCCCGGUAAACGGCGGCCGUAACUAUAACGGUCCUAAGGUAGCGAAAUUCCUUGUCGGGUAAGUUCCGACCUGCACGAAUGGCGUAAUGAUGGCCAGGCUGUCUCCACCCGAGACUCAGUGAAAUUGAACUCGCUGUGAAGAUGCAGUGUACCCGCGGCAAGACGGAAAGACCCCGUGAACCUUUACUAUAGCUUGACACUGAACAUUGAGCCUUGAUGUGUAGGAUAGGUGGGAGGCUUUGAAGUGUGGACGCCAGUCUGCAUGGAGCCGACCUUGAAAUACCACCCUUUAAUGUUUGAUGUUCUAACGUUGGCCCGUAAUCCGGGUUGCGGACAGUGUCUGGUGGGUAGUUUGACUGGGGCGGUCUCCUCCUAAAGAGUAACGGAGGAGCACGAAGGUUGGCUAAUCCUGGUCGGACAUCAGGAGGUUAGUGCAAUGGCAUAAGCCAGCUUGACUGCGAGCGUGACGGCGCGAGCAGGUGCGAAAGCAGGUCAUAGUGAUCCGGUGGUUCUGAAUGGAAGGGCCAUCGCUCAACGGAUAAAAGGUACUCCGGGGAUAACAGGCUGAUACCGCCCAAGAGUUCAUAUCGACGGCGGUGUUUGGCACCUCGAUGUCGGCUCAUCACAUCCUGGGGCUGAAGUAGGUCCCAAGGGUAUGGCUGUUCGCCAUUUAAAGUGGUACGCGAGCUGGGUUUAGAACGUCGUGAGACAGUUCGGUCCCUAUCUGCCGUGGGCGCUGGAGAACUGAGGGGGGCUGCUCCUAGUACGAGAGGACCGGAGUGGACGCAUCACUGGUGUUCGGGUUGUCAUGCCAAUGGCACUGCCCGGUAGCUAAAUGCGGAAGAGAUAAGUGCUGAAAGCAUCUAAGCACGAAACUUGCCCCGAGAUGAGUUCUCCCUGAGACUUAGAGUCUCCUGAAGGAACGUUGAAGACGACGACGUUGAUAGGCCGGGUGUGUAAGCGCAGCGAUGCGUUGAGCUAACCGGUACUAAUGAACCGUGAGGCUUAACC
rnacentral:rRNA from 1 species